rnacentral:tRNA from 1 species
GGCCCUUUAGCUCAGUGGUGAGAGCGAGCGACUCAUAAUCGCCAGGUCGCUGGUUCAAAUCCAGCAA